AGAGGGAUGUCCGAGUGGCUUAUGGUGCAGUCUUGGAAAGGCUGUGUGGUUAGUAGCCACCGCGGGUUCGAAUCCCGCUCCCUCUGCCA
rnacentral:tRNA from 1 species